CUUGAAUUGUUAUUCACGCACAGCAGGCUUUAUUUAAAUGAGCUAUAUCUAAGAAUGAAUAAAAAAGUGGGAUCAUCGGUCAAAUUACCGGCCACAGGCCAGCCAUAGCCAUAGGCAUAGGUAAUCCGUGUUGACUCCUAGCUUCCUCCAUUAAGGGGUACAGCGUUCGAAUCGCAAUCGUGCAGCAAUCGAGCCAAGGUGAUUCAGACUACAUAUGGAACCCUACACAGUCUUGAAGCCCUUUUCGACCUGGAAUUAGCGUCAGACAAUCAUCCAAAUGGUCCGAUCCAGGUCCUGAUAAACUAGCCACUUCCACGACUCCACGACGACCUUAUACCAUUCGCACAUUUCUGCACCUAUGGUAUUCCACAGUAUAUGUUAUUUGAUGGUUAUAUUGAUCCUUACGAUAGUCUUGAAGCCAUUUUCGACCUGGAAUUAGCGUCAGACAAUCUCCAAAUGGUCCGACAACGUCCAUCACCAUAUAGCCACCAUUUAUUAUAUACUGUGGUAUCCCACAGUAACGGUGCUAGCGAACCAACACCGUUACUAUACUUGGAAUGUUUUAUCAAGUCUUUUAUACUGUUAAAUAGAUGUUGGAAAACAGCUACUGUCCGUUUUGGCAUCUGUUGGACCUUUAUGUUGGAUUUGGUAAAUGAGAUAGACUAAAUUGACGAAAAUAAAAAAUGAACAUUUUUCUUUCCUUAUCGAAUUAUUUAUUUAAUAGGAUUGAGUAUAUUUUAAAAAGAAUAUUAUUCAUGAAAAAUGGCAAAAUAUAGGAUUCGUAUGAUGUAAAUCACCGUUCCUGAAUGGAAUGCUAAAAGCCUGGAAUUUUCUGCCGCUAGGUGGCAGAUGGAUAGCUCAUUCAGUUGUAUCUAAUUUUCAACACAACAUGGUCUCCACGUACGUACGGAGAGGUCCGUACCAGAAAACGGCACCAUUUCCAGGGUUUUUAUUGGCUCAGUGGGAUGGUCACGUGACCAUCCUUUCAAGCCACGCAGUGGUGGAUAGGCCCCGAAAUUUCAGCAGCCGCCGUCGCAUUUGAAUCGGCAAUUGUUUUUUUUUCCUCGUUUGUUGUCAUUUUCGUUUUUAAUGGCGGCCUGCUGUCAUUUAAAAUGAAUAAAUAUAUUACUUUUAGAAAAGGGCCGACCUCUCGUGAAGAGAACGAUGGAAUUUAUAGAUUCGGCUGGGAAACUUGUCGAGAAAGCUUUUUUGCUUUUUUAGAUAAACUGACACGAGAGUUUGGUACCUUCUCAAACAGGCAUAAUUUCAAUCUAAUUAAUUGUAUCUGAGAUUUUUUUACCAGAUUUUUUUACUAACAGGGUUUGUACAACUUCAAUCUGGAUAAAAGUAGAUUGAAUUCUAAUAGAUUGAACUCCUUCUAUAUUUACUGCAGGAGCCCUCACUUUUUGCCGUAGCAAAACUGUUGGCAACUGGUCUUGUAAAUCUGAACAGGGUAGAAGUUCUUUAGCAUCCUGUAACAAAUCACCUGCUGGAAGUCAUCAUCCACACCCAUACUGCCCUCUUCGCUUUAUUGUUUUCGAUGAGUGACAAAACAGAGAAAAAAGAAUGCUGCGUGAAUGGAUUCUGUCACUGUCCAUGGUAUAGGCUGUUGUAUUCUCGUAAUAUAAUUGAGGUGUUAAUCGAACUGACCCCAUGGGAAUCUUUCAACCCCUAAUGGAUUCUUAAAAGGUUCGUCGUUUGCUCGUAAGCCAGUUUGAAUGGCAGGUGAAGGCCAGUGUCAAAAAAAAAUAAUCGACUAACUUUUCGUUUUUAUGGCAUAGCAGUCUUGGUCCUGGUCUUGGUCUUGGUUGGUUUUUUUAUCAGAUAACGGAAAUCCUCAGAUUAAUUAUUUAUUACCUCCAUUGGCUGCUGCCAUCGAGGAUGCGUUCGUCAGAUUGGCUGGUGAUGGUGAUAUCAGCGUAUUUGUUAUCCUUGUUGUAGCUGGGAGUAGAGUAAGCUGGUGCAGGUUAGCUAGUAGUAGGGUACUUUGGUGCAGGGAAGUUUGGGGUAGUAGUGAUAUAUCAAAUCUAUAAAUAUCUAUAAAUAUCUCAACCCCUGUAUAUGCUGUACAUGCAAAGUAACAUGUGCAAAUUCGAGCGCGUGUCCGUCCUGGUGUCGAAGACGUUUCAUCAUUUUUAUGUAUAGCUCGGGACAAAGAUCGGCAUUAACUCACGAUUUCUUCAUGUUGAUUUAUUCAUAUCAGCUCCUCGCGUAUUUCAUUCUUUUUUCAUAUUUGAAUUGGUUAAACAUAGCGGUAAUCUCCUCCUAUAAACCACUUUAAACGUUUAGCAUUAAUUGAUGUUUUAAAGUUGAUUUUUUUGGGCGUUAUUGGCUAACAUCGUUUUCUUUUGUUGUUGUGGCUCUCCCGCAUCUAUUCGGCCGAUCCAAACUAAUACACAACGCCAGUUUUAUUUCGAAAGUGACGAGACCGAUGUGCCUUGUGCCACAUUUCACUCAACUUUUCUUUCUGGUUUUUCCAGCUGCGAUAACUAUAUAAUAGAGUCUGUGAUUACUUAAUGCGUCCGCGUUCUAUAUACCACAGCCGUUGGGCCGGUAUUCGUCCAGCUCAACAUCCAUUUCAAUUACAGCCAACAGGUGUGCGCCAUUAUCGAUUUUUCAUUAUACACUUCAUUAACAGAUUUAUUUGUGUUUCUAUACACGCUCCAAGUUGGGUUAACCUAAAUAAAAAAUGUCAUCGUA